GGAAAGGUGAAAAGAACCCCGAACAGGGGAGUGAAAUAGAACCUGAAACCAUACGCUUACAACCGGUCGGAGCAGCUUCGUGCUGUGACGGCGUGCCUAUUGAAUAAUGAGCCUACGAGUUACUAAUCACUGGCGAGGUUAAGUGCACGGAUGCACGGAGCCGAAGCGAAAGCGAGUCUUAAUAGGGCGUUUAGUCAGUGGUUGUAGACGCGAAACCUUGCGAUCUACCCUUGAGCAGGUUGAAGGUUGGGUAAAACCAACUGGAGGACCGAACGAAUAAGCGUUGAAAAGCUUCUCGAUGACUUGAGGGUAGGGGUGAAAGGCUAAUCAAGCUGGGAAAUAGCUCGUACUCCCCGAAAUGCCUUUUGGGGCAGCGUUGUAAUAAAGAGUCUACUGGAGGUAGAGCUACUGAUUGGAUGCGGGGGCUUCACCGCCUACCAAAUCCUGACAAACUCCGAAUGCCAGUAGUAUGAUUUACAGCAGUGAGCGACCGGGUGCUAAUGUCCGGUUACGAGAGUGGAACAACACAGACCAGCAACUAAGGUCCCCAAGAGUAUACUAAGUUGAUCUAACGAUGUUUUGUUGCAGAGACAGCUAGGAUGUUAGCUUGGAAGCAGCUAUUCAUUCAAAGAGUGCGUAACAGCUCACUAGUCGAGCGACAAAGCGUGGAUAAUAAACGGGCAUCAAGUAUACCACCGAAGUUCUGGGCACGAAAGUGCGGUAGGGGAGCAUUCCAUUCAGCGUCGAAGCCGAAUCGUGAGAUUUGGUGGAGCGUAUGGAAAAGCAAAUGUAGGCAUGAGUAACGAUAAUGCGGGAGAGUAACCCGCACACCGCAAGACCAAGGUUUCCUGAUCAACGCUAAUCGGAUCAGGGUUAGUCGGGUCCUAAGGGUAAGCCGAACGGCGAUCUCGAUGGAUAAUCGGUUAAUAUUCCGAUACUAACAUAUACCUCGAUGGAGAGACGAAGGAACGUAAGUGCCGCCACCUGACGGAAUAGGUGGUUAAAGGGCGUAGGUAUAGGGGCAGAUUAAGAGUUAGUCCUUGCUGAAACCUGACAGUACAGAGAGCCUACGGGCAAUUUGAUAGAGCACCCAAGUCGACUUCCGAGAAAAUCUUCUAAGUUAUAGUAUAUGUUACCCGUACCGUAAACCGACACAGGUGGUCGAGGAGAGUAUCCUAAGGUGCUCGAGUGAAUCACGGUUAAGGAACUAGGCAAAUUAACCCCGUAACUUCGGGAAAAGGGGUCCCAUCGCGAGGUGGGCGCAGCGAAGAGGUCCAGGCGACUGUUUAUCAAAAACACAGGGCUCUGCAAAUUCGAAAGAAGACGUAUAGGGCCUGACACCUGCCCGGUGCUGGAAGGUUAAGAGGGGAUGUCAUCGCAAGAGAAGCAUUGAAUCGAAGCCCCAGUAAACGGCGGCCGUAACUAUAACGGUCCUAAGGUAGCGAAAUUCCUUGUCGGGUAAGUUCCGACCUGCACGAAUGGUGUAACGAUCUGGACACUGUCUCAACCGUGAGCUCGGUGAAAUUGUAGUCCCGGUGAAGAUGCCGGGUACCCGCAACGGGACGAAAAGACCCCGUGAACCUUUACUAUAGCUUAACGCUGAAUUUGGGUACACAAUGUGUAGGAUAGGCCGGAG
rnacentral:rRNA from 1 species